UACGAAGGGGGCUAGCGUUGUCCGGAAUCAUUGGGCGUAAAGAGCGUGUAGGCGGCCCGGUAAGUCCGCUGUGAAAGUCGGGGGCUCAACCCUCGAAUGCCGGUGGAUACUGUCGGGCUAGAGUGCGGAAGAGGCGAGUGGAACUCCUGGUGUAGCGGUGGAAUGCGCAGAUAUCAGGAAGAACACCAACGGCGAAGGCAGCUCGCUGGGACGGAACUGACGCUAAGGCGCGAAAGCGUGGGGAGCGAACAGG
rnacentral:rRNA from 1 species